UAAGAUAACAAAGAACGCCAUGACAUCUACUCUCUCCAAAAAAUUUGAAAAAUAUGUAUUUUGUUUGCGCUUGGUUUUUUUGAAUUUGUUUACUUUGUAGAUAUUUGGGUUCGUUCGCUUAUUUUUUUAGGUCUUUGUAUUUGGUAUGUAGUAUGGCAAAAGUAUAUAUAGCAAAAGUUGCAUUUGUGUAUGGCAAAAGUUGCAUUUGUUAAUAGCAAAAGUUGCCCUCCCAAGCAAAAGUCGCAUUUGUUAUGGGAAAAGUUGCCGUCCCUGGCAGAAGUUGCCCUCCCUUGCAAAAGUUGCACUGAUUAUGACGUAUGGCAUGGGUUCUUUUAUUGAAAGUCAUAUUUCCUGUAACGUCUAGAGGUUGAAAUUAAUACCAUUAUACAGCUAUAUUAUUGUAUAUUGGUAUAGUUGCAAAGGUUGUUUUGAUUUGAGUUGAAUUUAUUUCAGUUUUUUUAUUUAUUUGUAAGUAGUAUGUGUUCAGGGUCUGGGGACCAUUGGUCAGGAUGGCCGAGUGUUGUCGAUAAUUGAUUCGUGCUCUAAAAGCAAAUCAUUGGAGCGACCAUAAACUCGAGAGAAACCCAUAAAUAAGGACACUGAUUAGAUGUGUCAGGUUAUAGCGAUAAGUGUGGAAAUACCGAAUAGGAACCCUUUUAGGCGGGGUUAGUCUGGUACAUAGAACAAGGCUUAAGGUUUGGUAGAUGACGAAUUGGUAGACGGAUGUUAUGAGAUCGAUCAUAUCGUGUUUGGAAUUAAAGUAAUUCAAAGUGG